rnacentral:rRNA from 1 species
UGAUGAAGGCCUUAGGGUUGUAAAGCUCUUUUAGCAGGGAAGAUAAUGACGGUACCUGCAGAAAAAGCCCCGGCUAAACUUCGUGC